rnacentral:rRNA from 1 species
AAUCAACGCUGGCGGCGCGCUUAACACAUGCAAGUCGCACGAGAAAGGGAGCAAUCCUGAGUAAAGUGGCGUACGGGUGAGUAACACGUGGGAAUCUACCUCUUGGCGGGGAAUAACCCUGGGAAACCGGGGCUAAUACCGCAUAAGCUCGUGAGAGGAAAGCAGCAAUGCACCGAGAGAGGAGCCCGCGGCCGAUUAGCUAGUUGGUGGGGUAAUGGCUCACCAAGGCGAAGAUCGGUAGCCGGCCUGAGAGGGCACACGGCCACACUGGCACUGAAACACGGGCCAGACUCCUACGGGAGGCAGCAGUGGGGAAUCUUGCACAAUGGGGGAAACCCUGAUGCAGCGACGCCGCGUGAGCGAUGAAGCCCUUCGGGGUGUAAAGCUCUUUCAACAGGAACGAUAAUGACGGUACCUGGAGAAGAAGCUGCGGCUAACUACGUG